GUACACGCUGUGACUAGCAUAUCAAUAAGCGGAGGAAAAGAAACUAACAAGGAUUCCCCUAGUAACGGCGAGUGAAGCGGGAAGAGCUCAAAUUUGAAAUCUUAAAGGGUUUCCCUUUACGAAUUGUAGUUUAAAGAAGUGUUUUCUGUUGAGGUUUUGGUAAAAGUUCUUUGGAAUAGGACAUCAUAGAGGGUGAGAAUCCCGUAUUUGACCUUUACUUUCAACUUUGUGAUACACUUUCAAAGAGUCGGAUUGUUUGGGAAUGCAGUCCAAAAUGGGUGGUAAAUUUCAUCUAAAGCUAAAUAUUGGCGAGAGACCGAUAGCGAACAAGUACCGUGAGGGAAAGAUGAAAAGAACUUUGAAAAGAGAGUUAAACAGUACGUGAAAUUGUCAAAAGGGAAGCGUUUGACACCAGUGUUGUUUUUCUGAAAAUCAAUUAAAGAACUGUUUAUGCUAAGCUGUUUAGACUUUAUCAGCUAUCUGUUUAGUUUUGAGCUUUACUUUAAUGCACUUUUCAGUUAACAAGUCAACAUCAAUUUCUUUUGCUGUAAAAAAGCUUGAGGAAGGUGGCUUGAGAUUCGUCUUAAGUGUUUAUAGCCUCUUGCCUAUGCAGUCGGAGGGAUUGAGGUCUGCAGCGUAGAUCCUUCGGGGCUAAAUGCAUUUGUGCUAAGUUAUAGCAUUUUAUAGACAACUUGUUGACUAUGAUUUGUCUUGUAGCUUACUCGCUUAUGUUAUUUUACCUACGCUUAGGAUGUUGAAGUCAUCGUAUCGCGC
rnacentral:rRNA from 1 species